rnacentral:rRNA from 1 species
AUUGAACGCUGGCGGCAUGCCUUACACAUGCAAGUCGAACGGCAGCACGGGAGCAAUCCUGGUGGCGAGUGGCGAACGGGUGAGUAAUACAUCGGAACGUGCCCAAUCGUGGGGGAUAACGCAGCGAAAGCUGUGCUAAUACCGCAUACGAUCUACGGAUGAAAGCAGGGGACCGCAAGGCCUUGCGCGAUUGGAUCGCCCGAUGGCAGAUUAGGUAGUUGGUGGGGUAAAGGCUCACCAAGCCAACGAUCUGUAGCUGGUCUGAGAGGACGACCAGCCAAACGGGGAAUGAGACAAGGCACAGAAUACGAAGGGAGGGAGCAGUGGGGAAUUUUGGACAAUGGGGGGAAGCCUGAAACAGGAAUGGCGCGUGGAGGAAGAAGGACGUAGGGGUGUAAAAUGCUUUUGGAAGGAACGAAAAGGCCUUUACUAAUAAAGAGGGCUAAUGACGGUACCGUAAGAAUAAGCACCGGCUAACUACGUG